UACGGAGGGUGCGAGCGUUGUCCGGAAUUACUGGGCGUAAAGGGCUCGUAGGCGGCCAACUAAGUCCGACGUGAAAUCCCAAAGCUUAACUUUGGAACUGCGUCGGAUACUGGAUGGCUUGAAUUCGGGAGAGGGAUGCAGAAUUCCAGGUGUAGCGGUGAAAUGCGUAGAUAUCUGGAGGAAUACCGGUGGCGAAGGCGGCAUCCUGGACCGACAUUGACGCUGAGGAGCGAAAGCUAGGGGAGCAAACGGG
rnacentral:rRNA from 1 species